UACUUAAAAUACUCCUAUCCCUACCUCCUCGUGGUACUGGCCGGGGUACGAGUAACCUUGGGGAAGAUCGGGUAACCAACCCCCGGUGGGAACUUUGGUCGUAUGCUGACAGGGAAGG
rnacentral:ribozyme from 1 species